ACUCCUACGGGAGGCAGCAGUGGGGAAUCUUCCGCAAUGGGCGAAAGUCUGACGGAGCAACGCCGCGUGUACGACGAAGGUCUUCGGAUUGUAAAGUACUGUCUUCAGGGACGAACGGUAGGUAUGAAAAUAUUGUAGAUACAUGACGGUACCUGAGGAGGAAGCCCCGGCUAACUACGUGCCAGCAGCCGCGGUAAUACGUAGGGGGCAAGCGUUGUCCGGAAUCAUUGGGCGUAAAGGGCGCGUAGGCGGAUACUUAAGUCUGGUGUGAAAACCUAG
rnacentral:rRNA from 1 species